AUCGCUGGCGGCGUGCUAACACAUGCAAGUCGAACGCGAAAGUCCCGCAAGGGGCAGUAGAGUGGCAACGGGUGAGUACACGUGGGUGACCUGCCUUCGAGCGGGGGAUAACGUCCCGAAAGGGACGCUAAUACCGCAUAACAUCCUGCCUUUGAAGAGGCGGAGAUCAAAGCCGGGGAUCGCAAGACCUGGCACUCGGAGAGGGGCUCGCGUCUGAUUAGCUAGUUGGUGGGGUAAUGGCCUACCAAGGCAACGAUCAGUAUCCGGCCUGAGAGGGCGGACGGACACACUGGGACUGAGACACGGCCCAGACUCCUACGGGAGGCAGCAGUGGGGAAUUGUUCGCAAUGGGCGCAAGCCUGACGACGCAACGCCGCGUGGAGGAUGAAGAUCUUCGGGUCGUAAACUCCUGUCGAAUGGGACGAAUGGAUCGCGUGGGAACAUCACGUGGUCGUGACGGUACCGUUAAAGGAAACCCCGGCUAACUCCGUGCCAGCAGCCGCGGUAAUACGGG
rnacentral:rRNA from 1 species